GGGGCCACCGGGCUCAGCGCGACACCAACGGUGGAUGGAGCCCGUCACUUCGACUUGUUCGCGUGAUCGAAGGGGCUUGAGGAAAGGCACAGCGAACUGCACCCGGAGAAGCCUUACUGAACCGGCGGAGGACCUGGGUUCGAUUCCCAGCGGCUCCA
rnacentral:tRNA from 1 species